UGCAGUCUGUGUUUUACUUCUGUUACUAGGAUGCGGACACCGGUUUUGGCCAGUCUGAAGGUUUUUUUCAUAAAAAAUAGCCAAUAGGGGUAGGCGGGGCAAUAUGGACACAAUAUCGACUGUAGCUUUUAUGUAUAAAAUUUCUUUUCCCUCUCGAGCAGCUUGUGUGGUCGUGUGGUUAUGGUGCGCGCUCAUACACAUUUUUGGGGAGGGUUUAGGUUCGAAUCCCGUUAGUGGCAAAUUUUUGUUAUUUGCCUUCUGAUAAUUAUCACGAUAACUUUGCAGGCGAUAAAGUUGGAUAGCGAAAAUGAAAAGAGCGAUUUUCAGUUUUCGGCUAUCUUUGAUCGGGGACAAAAAGCAACGACCGAUAAACAUUUCUCACAGGAAAAGUAAAAACAAAAAAAAAUCGGUUGCUCGAAAAACGCCGUUUUUCGUCUCAAUUUGCUGAUAAUUUCAUUCCCUGCUAGGCACAGCUGAACAUGCCGACAAAAACGAAGCUUUAUCCAAAACAGCCUGAAUUUUAAUUACCAGAACAAAACUGAACUACUUCGGCGUAUUAUUCAUCCAUAAUAGUUGUUUUGUAAUGAAAUGACUUUCAGGCUUAUUCUGCGCGGCGUGUGAGGUGAGACGAGUCGAAUGGGGACUACUACGAAAGGCCGAAUCACGAAAGGCCGAAUCACAAAAGGCCGAAUCACAAAAGGCCGAAAGCACGAAAGGCCGAAGGUAACAAAAGGCCGAGGCACGAAAGGCCGAAGGUAACGAAAGGUCGAAUGUAACGAAAGGCCGAAUGUAACGAAAGGCCGAAAGUAACGAAAGGCCGAAUUACAAAAGUAGCCAUUUUAUUACAAAACCCUUUCCUUUCCAUUACUUUUACCAUGUAACAAGAAAAAACAUUUAAAUAAAUACAUAUUGUCCAACAUAAAUUCAUUAUACUCAAAUCUUUUUGGAAGUUUGAACUGUUGUCUACAAAUGUGACAUGUAUAGUGAUAAUUAUACAUAACAUGGCAUAAUAAGCUUAUAACAGCAGCACAUAAAUGAUAGAAAGGCGAAAUAGCUGGCCGAACAACUACGUUUGCUAUAUAUAUAGGGAAACGCUUGCUGUCCGAACUCGCUAACGCUCGUCGGACUUAAAAAAAGAUAACAACUUCUGUUCGCAUUAUACCUAGCAUACUAUUGGAACGGGACUACUACGAAAGGCCGAAUCACGAAAGGCCGAAUCACAAAAGGCCGAAUCACAAAAGGCCGAAAGCACGAAAGGCCGAAGGUAACAAAAGGCCGAAGCACGAAAGGCCGAAGGUAACGAAAGGCCGAAAGUAACGAAAGGCCGAAUUACAAAAGUAGCCAUUUUAUUACAAAACCCUUUCCUUUCCAUUACUUUUACCAUAUAACAAGAAAAAACAUUUAAAUAAAUACAUAUUGUCCAACAUAAAUUCAUUAUACUCAAAUCUUUUUGGAAGUUUGAACUGUUGUCUACAAAUGUGACAUGUAUAGUGAUAAUUAUACAUAACAUGGCAUAAUAAGCUUAUAACAGCAGCACAUAAAUGAUAGAAAGGCGAAAUAGCUGGCCGAACAACUACGUUUGCUAUAUAUAUAGGGGAACGCUUGCUGUCCGAACUCGCUAACGCUCGUCGGACUUAAAAAAAGAUAACAACUUCUGUUCGCAUUAUACCUAGCAUACUAUUGGAACUGCUGUUUUCCUUGGAUUCGAGUCGACGCAAUUACGGUGCAUCGGAUAUCGGAUACUUCGGCGGCCUUCUGCCGCCUCAGUUCCUCAAUCCUCCAUGCGGCUACGCCGCAUGGUUCACAUUUAUGUGCAUUUUACGUUGGAGUGGGGGGUUAUUUUUUAACUAUUCAAUUUGAAGUUAUAACAUACAUACAUACAUACAUACAUACAUUUUUUUAAUUAAUAGAGUAUUUGACUAAACGGAAACCGAGUGAAUAUGCGUUUUCCGUAAUUCGGCCUUUCGUUACGUUCGGCCUUUUGAUACAUUCGGCCUUUCGUUACCUUCGGCCUUUCGUUACCUUCGGCCUUUUGCUACAUUCGGCCUUUCGUGAUUCGGCCUUUUGUGCUUUCGGCCUUUUGUGGUAGUUAUAAUGGUUUCGGCCUUUUGUGAUUCGGCCUUUCGUGGUUCGGCCUUUCGUGAUUCGGCUUUUUGUGUUAAUCCCGUCGAAUGAGGUGACAAAAGUCGACUCGCCUCAUUUGAUUUACAUUAGUCGUCUCACGUCACGUGAGACGAAACCGUCCGUCUCACCUCACACGCCGCGCAGAAUAAGCCUGUUUAUAGGUGUAAAUAAUGUACGAAAUUCGUAAAAGUCUCAUGGUCUCCAUAUUGCCCCAUGGGGGUGUCCAUUCUGCCCCGUAUGCUUGAAGACGGUCAUAAAAAACUAACAUUUUUCAAAACAUUUUUUUAAGUGGAUAAAUAAUUUUUCUUCGUGAGCAUUCUUAUGCAAUAGAUGCUAAAUAGACUUUAAAAGGAUACAUGUAUCAAAAAACUAAACUUUUUUGGCAUCUUGCCAGGUAAA